rnacentral:rRNA from 1 species
CAGCCGCCGCGGUAAUACGUAGGUGGCAAGCGUUGUCCGGAAUUAUUGGGCGUAAAGGGCUCGCAGGCGGUUUCUUAAGUCUGAUGUGAAAGCCCCCGGCUCAACCGGGGAGGGUCAUUGGAAACUGGGAAACUUGAGUGCAGAAGAGGAGAGUGGAAUUCCACGUGUAGCGGUGAAAUGCGUAGAGAUGUGGAGGAACACCAGUGGCGAAGGCGACUCUCUGGUCUGUAACUGACGCUGAGGCUCGAAAGCGUGGGGAGCAAACAGGAUUAGAUACCCCCGUAGUCCCUGUCUCUUAUAC